rnacentral:lncRNA from 1 species
UGGUGCCAAUUUCUUUCAUUUUCUUACAUUUGAAAGGAGGGCCACAGUAGAGUCAGUAUUGUGGUUGCCACUAAUUCAUAGGAUGUUCCAUUAAAUUAUACCUUGAAGUGAAUCAAUUGUUUCCCGAUGUCUUGUUGUUUUUUAAAACUCUUUCUAGUCAGAUAGAUUUGUAUCGUUAGUCUUGAAUUGUUCUCAAUUAGGCUUGUGCUACCACACAUUCCCAUUCUAGCUGAAGCUAUCUCAUGAUUAGAUGGUGU